UGGAAAUGUCACUAGUUUAAAAUCAGUGGAGUUGCUUUUGUUCUUUUUUAUCCAUGAUCAAAUUGGUUUGAUUUGGUCCCAAGUACUUUAUAGUAACCUCCCAAGUACAGGAGACUGAAUGGGAGAAACCUCAUGGAGCACAGUGGUGCUCUUAAAGUUCUGGAAACUGCGUUGCUAGGAAACAACUUUACCACCAGUUCAGUUUCAACUUGGAGCAUCUGCUUCAUUUGAAGUGUGGCUUCCAGGCAGUAUAGAUUGCACUGCGCAUCGGGGAGGGGGAAAAAGCAAAAGAAAAACCAAUUACUUUCUAAAAGCAACAACAAUGCUAACAGCCUUGAAAGGAGAGAGUCUUAUGCUAUAUUUGUAAUUAUACCCUUUGGAAAGUGUUGCUGGAGGGUGUCUGUCUGCUAACUCAUAAAGCUGAAGUCCAAAAUAGCAAGAGGAAUCACUCAGAUACAGGACCCAAAGACAGGGAGAAAGAUUUUAUCACGUAUGCAAGGCAUAGAUUAGAACUUCCCUUCUGCCUGUUCCGUAUGUCAUCGCCUCAUGAUGGUCUGUGACAGCAUAAACAACGCAGAGAGUGGAAACUCAAGGGUCCCAGCACCACUUUUCAAAGCACAUGAGCUUAAAUAAAUAGCAAUGUUUCAAGUGUUCCACAUGGAGAAAAAUAAAGUUCUAUACUGAUAAAAGGAAUGUGCCAUGACCUUCGUCCAGUGAAAGCAGAGGGGGUUCUUAUUUUUACGACAACAAGCCCAGGUCCUGAAAAGAUUUGGUGUCUAAAUAUAGAAGAAAUGGCCUAGGAGCCAUGAAAAACAAAGCAAAUAUUUGACUUGGAUUGCUGAAGCCCCCAAGGUAUUUAGAAAAAGCAAACCAAGCACCGAACCCUCAACACUGGCUUCAGGAAGUGCCUCAAGUUCCAGCCACAAGUGCCAAUCACGGAGGAAACAGGCCACUCUGAACCACGGUCAGCAGAAGCAUCCACAGGCUGGAGUCCUCUGUCCUUCCUGUUAUCAGCACAGCAAGACAGAAUGGAGUGGGGGACCUGAGGACCUGGAGCCACCCUGCAGAAGCAAGGCCAGAGGGGGUCUCACAAAUCGCAAGUUCUUCCGCUACGAGCACAAGAAGCAGGUAAACUCUCACUGGGAAACGUGUACCUCUCAGGGUUUAGGUAACUCCAUUCCAGUGAAAAAAUUACAUCGCUCCUAACAAGGAAAGGAAACAAAAUUACAAGUAGGACAGGCCU
ensembl:lincRNA